UGACAGUAGAUCUUCAGUAGGGGAUAUGACAGUAGAUCUUCAGUAGAUCUUCAGUAGGGGAUAUGACAGUAGAUCUUCAGUAGAGGAUAUGACAGUAGAUCUUCAGUAGGGGAUAUGACAGUAGAUCUUCAGUAGGGGAUAUGACAGUAGAUAUUCAGUAGGGGAUAUGACAGUAGAUCUUCAGUAGGGGAUAUGACAGUAGAUCUUCAGUAGAUCUUCAGUAGAUGAUUUGACAGUAGAUCUUCAGUAAGGGAUAUGACAGUAGAUUUUCAUUAGAUCUUCAGUAGGGGAUAUGACAGUAGAUCUUCAGUAGAUCUUCAGUAGGGAAUAUGACAGUAGAUCUUCAGUAGAAGAUUUGACAGUAGAUCUUCAGUAGGGGAUAUGACAGUAGAUCUUCAGUAGGGGAUAUGACAGUAGAUCUUCAGUAGAUCUUCAGUAGGGAAUAUGACAGUAGAUCUUCAGUAGGGGAUAUGACAGUAGAUCUUCAUUAGAUCUUCAGUAGGGGAUAUGACAGUAGAUCUUCAGUAGAUCUUCAGUAGGGAAUAUGACAGUAGAUCUUCAGUAGAUGAUUUGACAGUAGAUCUUCAGUAGGGGAUAUGACAGUAGAUCUUCUGUAGGUGAUAUGACAGUAGAUCUUCAGUAGGGGAUAUGACAGUAGAUCUUCAGUAGAUCUUCAGUAGGGAAUAUGACAGUAGAUCUUCAGUAGAUGAUUUGACAGUAGAUCUUCAGUAGGGGAUAUGACAGUAGAUCUUCUGUAGGUGAUAUGACAGUAGAUCUUCAGUAGGGGAUAUGACAGUAGAUCUUCAGUAGGGGAUAUGACAGUAGAUCUUCAGUAGAUCUUCAGUAGGGGAUAUGACAGUAGAUCUUCAGUAGGGGAUAUGACAGUAGAUCUUCAGUAGGGGAUAUGACAGUAGUUCUUCAGUAGGUGAUAUGACAGUAGAUCUUCAGUAGAACUUCAGUUAUGGAUCUGACAUUAGAUCAUCUGUAGAACUUCAGUAGUCCUCAGGGGAUAUGACAGUAGUAGGCCCAUAGAUACAGUAAGACAGUUCAAUAUUUCCAAAUGAUGUCAACACAACAUGCUUUGCCUCACUCAGACCAGCUCCCGUUAG
rnacentral:lncRNA from 1 species